CCUGUUAACAGUACCUGCAGUUGGAGCUGUGCGGCUACCUCAUUUGAAACUGAUAGGAGCUUCCUGCAAAACUUGCACCUGACUGAGUUAAUAAUGGGAUACCAGAAUCCAGCUCAGGCCAGUGCCACAACCAGCAAUAAAUGGUUGUAUGGGUACGAAAUGUGGUCUAUUUACAAUGAGUCUUCAUCAGUAUGGAAUGUCCGAACCCUGCUUCCCUCAGUCUUCAACAUGACUGUUUACUGUCACCCUGGCAACGAGGUCCAGACUUCCUCUUCUGUCUUCUUCUCACCUGUUCUCCACCCCUCUCCUCCUGGUUCUUCCUUUCUAUUCCUGCUUCCUCUCCUGGUCCACAGGUUGUCCUGUCCUGUCCCCGCGCUCUCUUACUCAUUUCCCCCCAUGGCUAGUCCAGCUUGCUUAAAAUAAAUAAUAAUAUAAAUGGCUAAUUCCCCAGUACAGUACUAAUAGAGCUCCAUUGAUUUUCUGGUCCAGUCAGAGAGACUAAGAGGAAAUGAAACCAAGUUUAAGACAUAAAUAUAAAUAAUGUUAUAAUAAACUUAAUAAAAGAUUAUUUUGGGAAAACAUCCAUGGCUGGAGCCUCAUAAGCUGCCACCUCGCUCCGCCUAUCCUCUCCUCCCUCCAUCCCUGUUUGAAAGACAACAGAGCAGAACGGCAGCGAGUGGCAGCCUGAAAUACAGCUCAUUUGUCAGUGACACGGGAAUGCUUUGACCUUCCCAAGACAGGCAGGCAUUGCCAACUCAGCAGUUUCUCUUUCUAGUCGAAUUACAGUCGUCAUUCGCAUGAGCGAGACUGGCUCCCCUCGUUUAUACGGCCGAGAAGCGCGGCAGACACAACACGCAGCUUAACCAUGACGUGUUAUUUAUUUAUUUAUUAAUUUGGGUGUGUGUGUCUGUGAGUGUACUGUCACUUUUGUCUUCCUUUUACUUGGUAGUUUUGUGUAUUUACUAGCUUUUGACAUGCUGUUUGUGUUAUGCAUAGUUGUUGGCAGCACUGGAGCGAAUGUGCAGACUGUAACUGGGUUGACUGAAACUUAAAGUUGAAUAAAUAACAGGUGACAGGUGUGCAUAAUGAGCUUUCAGUCUCUAU